UGGGGAAUAUUGCGCAAUGGGCGAAAGCCUGACGCAGCGACGCCGCGUGGAGGAUGAAGGCCUUAGGGUUGUAAACUUCUGUUAAGUGAGAAAAAAGAUCUUUUCCUAAUACGAAAAGAGGAUGAUUGUAUCACUAGAGAAAGCACCGGCUAAACUCGUGCCAGCAGCCGCGGUAAUACGAGUGGUGCAAACGUUAUUCGGAAUCAUUGGGCGUAAAGGGCGUGUAGACGGUAUGUUUAGUCUGUUGUUAAAUCCUUCGGCUUAACCGAAGAUAAGCGGCAGAUACUGGCAUGCUAGAGGGUGGAAGAGAGAAGUGGAAUUCUCGGAGUAGCGGUAAAAUGCGUAGAUCUCGAGAGGAACACCAAUGGCGAAGGCAGCUUCUUGGUCCAUUCCUGACGUUGAGGCGCGAAAGCGUGGGGAGCAAACAGG
rnacentral:rRNA from 1 species